GAGAAGAAGGAUCGCAAGCAAAUAGAAGACAUGGUAUUUGUUUGUUUGUUCUUUCUCUCGAUGGAUGGAUUAUGUCUCUUUUUUUCUUCCUUUU
rnacentral:ribozyme from 12 species